CCUGUGGAUCUUGAAAUCUCCGAACCGGAGUAGUAAGAAUUCUGCGCGCUACGGCCGACCAGAUAACUUCCGUUUUCAAUUCCACCAUUAAAGUAGAUUACUACGUUUCUUCUACUUCCGAAACCCUAGCCCGUAUUCUCAGCUGUAUAACAGAGCGAUGAAUCCUUAUGACCACAGAUACGCUGAUCCCAAUUCCUACCGUGAGCGCCGAAGUGACCUAAUAUGUCCACAGCCUCCGGCGCCGUCGCUAUUAGCAGGGCGCGAACCCUUGUAUAAAGGGUAUCCGCCUCCUCCAGUUUCCUACUAUGGCCGGGAAAGAGGUGGGGGAGGUGUUGGUGGAGGUUUACCUAGUGCUGGAGGUCUCAAUGGCUUCCCACGGUUUCAGCCUCCUGCAGGACCGUUUAAUAUCGGCCGUGGCGGCGGCGCUUUGGAGAGUAGGAGAAUGUUUGAUUCGGGGAGGGGUGGCAAUAGAACUGGUGGGAAUAUUGGGUUUGGAGGUGGACGGGGUGGAGGAACGGGAUUUGAGGGCCGUGGUGGCGGAAGAGGGGCUGGACGUGGUGGUUCUUCGAGAGGGGAAUUAGGUAGCAUAGUUCUUCCGAAUCAGAAUUUUGGCAAUUUGGUUCCGUUUGAGAAAAAUUUCUAUACCGAGUGCCCUUCGGUGCGUGCUAUGACGGAGUCCGAAGUUAAGAUUUACCGAGAGAGGCGUGACAUUACGGUGGAAGGAUACGAUGUACCGAAACCAAUCCGGAGUUUCCAAGAGGCGAAUUUCCCUGCUUACUGCCUUGAUGUGAUUGCGAAAUUGGGAUUUGUCGAGCCUACUCCCAUUCAGGCUCAAGGAUGGCCAAUGGCCAUGAAAGGAAGAGAUUUGAUUGGCAUUGCCGAGACUGGUUCUGGAAAGACUCUGGCCUAUUUACUCCCAGCUUUAAUACACAUUAGUGCCCAGCCUCGUUUAGCGCAUGGUGAAGGCCCCAUAGUAUUGGUGUUAGCUCCCACUAGAGAAUUAGCCGUUCAAAUUCAACAAGAGGCUACUAAAUUUGCUUCACGUGCUAACAUUAGAAGUACUUGCAUUUAUGGUGGGGCUCCAAAGGGGCCUCAAAUUCGUGAUCUGAAAACUGGUGUUGAGAUCGUUAUUGCUACACCGGGGCGACUGAUAGAUAUGCUGGAAGCUGGCCACACCAACCUGCGGAGAGUGACUUACCUUGUUUUGGAUGAAGCUGAUAGAAUGCUGGACAUGGGAUUUGAGCCUCAGAUAAGGACAAUUCUGAGCCAAAUCCGACCUGAUAGGCAGACCUUAUACUGGAGUGCCACAUGGCCAAGGGAGGUUGAGAAAUUAGCGAGACAAUUUUUAAGGAAUGCCUAUAAGGUGAUUAUUGGUUCACCAGAUCUUAAAGCUAACCAGUCUAUAAACCAAGUCGUUGAAGUUGUGACAGAAGCUGAGAAAUAUAGAAGGUUAAUUAAAUUGCUCGUGGAAGUGAUGGAUGGGAGUCGUAUUCUGAUAUUUGUGGAGACAAAAAAAGGAUGUGAUAAAGUAACGAGGCAAUUGAGAAUGGAUGGAUGGCCAGCUCUAUCCAUUCAUGGCGAUAAAAAGCAGGCCGAAAGGGACUUGGUUUUGACUGAAUUUAAAAGUGGAAGAAACCCAAUAAUGACAGCCACUGAUGUGGCUGCCAGAGGUCUUGGUAGGAUUACUACAUGUCGGGUGUUUUAGGUUUUAAUUUAGGUGUUCACUUUCAAAUUCUUAAUGAGUCGGCCAGCUGCUUUCCAGUUCCUGAAUAUAAUUUGUGGCUUGGGUGCAAAGGAGGGUUCUAUUGUGCUGUGAAUGAUGAUUUUGAGACUCCUCAGUUUUGUCUCCUGUACAAUACUGUAUGGCCUUUCUGCUUCUUUGCCCCUUUCCAAACAAUGUGCUCUAGAUUUAGUUUACAUUCUACUUCUUUUAGGCUUCCAUUUUUGCAACCUUUGGGGUGGUGGGGGUAUGGUGAAGGAAGAAAGUUUGAUUGAAAGGAAACAGAGCCACCUCGGUUUUGUACCGGUUGCUAGUACAUUAUAAAUCAUAGCAUGAAUCUCAUAUGGACAUGAAGAUGAUGUGCUUAUUCUGAGGAUGCUGAAUGAUUUUGUCCGAGUUAACUGGGAGGAUUUUUUUUUCUGUUUCUAGACACAAGAAUUGUAAAUCUUAUGCAUCAUUAGGUCAGCAGAGGAUGGAUCAGAAGGCUGGCUUUGAUGAGUUUACGGAAAGAUCACGUCCUUAAGAUGCCUGAAAUAGUAUUUUUUGCUCAACUAGUUAUCCAAGUAUUGUAUCCUUAUUCCGUGCCCAUCCACAAUUAUGGAGCUGGUUGUUUUUGCAGCCUGGUUGACUCAUUCAUUAUUGCAUUGUUGGUAUGGAAGUCGUCGUGGUGACAGCUGCUACUUAUCCCUGCAAAGUUAAGAUGUGAAAGACAUCAAAUGUGUGAUCAACUAUGACUUCCCAUCAAGCCUCGAGGACUACGUCCACAGAAUAGGCCGAACCGGUCGUGCUGGUG